UACGUAGGGGGCAAGCGUUGUCCGGAUUUAUUGGGCGUAAAGAGCGUGUAGGCGGCCGGACAGGUCCGCUGUGAAAACUCGAGGCUCAACCUCGAGAUGUCGGUGGAAACCGUCUGGCUAGAGUCCGGAAGAGGAGAGUGGAAUUCCAGGUGUAGCGGUGAAAUGCGUAGAGAUCUGGAGGAAUACCGGUGGCGAAGGCGGCCCCCUGGACAAAGACUGACGCUCAGGUGCGAAAGCGUGGGGAGCAAACAGG
rnacentral:rRNA from 1 species